AAAUUGAAGAGUUUGAUCAUGGCUCAGAUUGAACGCUGGCGGCAGGCCUAACACAUGCAAGUCGAGCGGUAGCACAGAGAGCUUGCUCUCGGGUGACGAGCGGCGGACGGGUGAGUAAUGUCUGGGAAACUGCCUGAUGGAGGGGGAUAACUACUGGAAACGGUAGCUAAUACCGCAUAACGUCGCAAGACCAAAGUGGGGGACCUUCGGGCCUCAUGCCAUCAGAUGUGCCCAGAUGGGAUUAGCUAGUAGGUGGGGUAACGGCUCACCUAGGCGACGAUCCCUAGCUGGUCUGAGAGGAUGACCAGCCACACUGGAACUGAGACACGGUCCAGACUCCUACGGGAGGCAGCAGUGGGGAAUAUUGCACAAUGGGCGCAAGCCUGAUGCAGCCAUGCCGCGUGUGUGAAGAAGGCCUUCGGGUUGUAAAGCACUUUCAGCGGGGAGGAAGGCGGUGAGGUUAAUAACCUCAUCGAUUGACGUUACCCGCAGAAGAAGCACCGGCUAACUCCGUGCCAGCAGCCGCGGUAAUACGGAGGGUGCAAGCGUUAAUCGGAAUUACUGGGCGUAAAGCGCACGCAGGCGGUCUGUCAAGUCGGAUGUGAAAUCCCCGGGCUCAACCUGGGAACUGCAUUCGAAACUGGCAGGCUAGAGUCUUGUAGAGGGGGGUAGAAUUCCAGGUGUAGCGGUGAAAUGCGUAGAGAUCUGGAGGAAUACCGGUGGCGAAGGCGGCCCCCUGGACAAAGACUGACGCUCAGGUGCGAAAGCGUGGGGAGCAAACAGGAUUAGAUACCCUGGUAGUCCACGCCGUAAACGAUGUCGAUUUGGAGGUUGUGCCCUUGAGGCGUGGCUUCCGGAGCUAACGCGUUAAAUCGACCGCCUGGGGAGUACGGCCGCAAGGUUAAAACUCAAAUGAAUUGACGGGGGCCCGCACAAGCGGUGGAGCAUGUGGUUUAAUUCGAUGCAACGCGAAGAACCUUACCUG
rnacentral:rRNA from 1 species